CACAAUUAUACUAAGUAAUCACUGUAUAGUUGUAACUUGUAAUCUGAAGUAUUUUAUUUCGUUCGCGUUUGUCUGUUUUUCCUUGACGCUGUUCACAUGACGUUUGAUUCCAGUGAUAUGUCCGACGAUGAUUUUCCUUCGGAAGAUGCAACAUACGUUCCAAGAUAAUUCGAUUGUUCUGUCCCAUCAUAAACUUUUGAUUAUUCACAAAUGUAAAUAUCUUUAAGUGCAGUUUUGUUCUGUUAAUAUUUAUACAGUUAUUUUGUACAAAGACAAUAUUUUAUUGUACAUAUUAUUUUCACCAUCGGAUUUUAACUGGUUGCCUUUCAGCUCAUGUAAUUCGUAUUCCUUUUACAAUAAACAUACUACAUAGCACAUGAAUAAGUGGGAUGCACUGGAGUGAAUAUUCUGAGUUCGGCCCGGAGUUUCACAAACGAUCUGGCUGGGACUGUUUAGUCGUGAAUGGGGAAACCUCAAAAAACCGAAAUUUUUAAUAAAGUGAAAAAUUAUUGUUUCUGAACAACAUUAAUUGCGUCAUUUUUAGGAAUCAAUUAUAAUAUUUGACUGAUGAGGCUGGAUUUGAAUUCUAGUGCAUCCCUCCUUUCACUUUCAGUACUUCAGAUAUUAUAAUUACGUUACAUCUACAGGGUGUAUCAAAAAAAACUGAACAGAUUUGAAAUUGCUCUCAAUUUCGUAAAACACCUAUUUGUAUCCGGUUUUUUAUAUAUAUAGCUUCUUUGGGUACUUAUAAUGUAGAAUAAUGAAAAAAAUUUCUCGAACUCAAAUUUUGUGAACCAGGGGGGUGUGUCUUUUCCAACAAACUAAAAAUGGCUCGCGCACAAAAUUUAAAAGCUGUAAUCAUAUUUUGAGUUAAUAGAUGGAACAUCUGUCGGGUUUUUAAUUACUGUACAAAAUUUCAGACAAUUUCGUUUAGUUUAAGUCCUUUAACUAUUCAUUUUGUUCUAAAAAAUCAGCCUUUCGCAUGCUUAAUUAAUGCCUUUACCUAAUUUGCAUAUUGCUGACAUAUGCAAAUUAGGCAAAUGCAUUAAUUAAGCAUGCAAAUAGCUGAUUUUUAGGAAAAAUGUAACUUUGCGUGAAUAGUUAAGGUUAGUUAAACUAAACCAAAUUGCGUGAAAUUUUGUACGGUAAUUAAAAACCCGACAAAUUUUCCAUCUAUUAACUCAAAAUAUGAUUGCAGCUUUUAAAUUUUGUGCGCGAGCCAUUUUUAGUUUGUUGGAAAAGACACACCCCCCUGGUUCACAAAAUUUGAGUUCGAGAAAUUUUUUUCAUUAUUCUACAUUAUAAGUACCCAACGAAGCUAUAUAUAUAAAAAACCGGAUACAAAUAGGUGUUUUGCGAAAUUGAGAGCAAUUUCAAAUCUGUUCAGUUUUUUUUGAUACACCCUGUAUAUCAAAUUGAAGCUAUUGAAAAACGCUAUUUGGUGUAGAAAUUUCAAGACUUUAGCUAAAAGGGAAAUAUUGAAAAACUACAAACAUAAUUACCGAUAAUUUGCCGUUUUGCAGUUGUUUUUGUAUUUUUUAAAUAUUUUUCUUUUCGCUGAAGUCUUGAAAUUUCCACACCGAAUAGCAAUUUUCAAUAGCUUCAAUUUGAUAUAUAGCCCGACGUUUGGGGUCAAGUAUUUCUGCUCAUAACUCAGAAAAACUAUUUUGGCUUCAUCAAAUCAUAGGCCUUCAUCAUAGCAGUUAGCCUUCCAGUUUAUUUAUAGUUCAAUGGUCAGACCCCUGGUCAGACCAAACUUCAAACUUUAUAAACUUGGAAAUAGUUACCUAGAAAUCUUUCAGUUUAUGUAUUUCUGCACGUCUGUUUAUUUCAAAACUUCAAAGAAGAAAACUCCUACUGAUAAACAGACAAUAUUUCUGAAGAAAUAUUUCCAAAUUUACUAAUAAACAAGCUGACAAAGCUGUUACGAAGUUUGCUCCGAAUUUUAGGUUAGCCUAGGGUUAAGGUAAGUGGCUUUGGACAACCGCCCCCAGGCCUACUUAGUAAGAUAUUCUCGGAUCCUUUAUAUCCAUAUAGUUCCUGGUAUUUAUAUAAUAUGAUAAUCGACAAGCUAUUUUCAUAUCUGUAUAGUAUUUAGAACAUAUAAAGUAUAUGCACGUUUUAGUGAUAUAACCAGAACAAUGUAAAAUACGUAUUUAUUUUAAUAAAGUAUAUUUUGUAUAACAAAUCAAGUGGACCGAAUAAAAACACGAAACUUAGGAAUGC